rnacentral:rRNA from 1 species
UACGUAGGGUGCAAGCGUUGUCCGGAAUUACUGGGCGUAAAGGGCGCGUAGGCGGCACGGCAAGUCGGGAGUGAAAGCCCGGGGCUCAACCCCGGAACUGCUCACGAAACUGCCGAGCUAGAGUGCGGAAGAGGCAACUGGAAUUCCCAGUGUAGCGGUGAAAUGCGUAGAUAUGGGUCGGAACACCAAUGGCGAAAGCACUCUUCUGGACGACACCUGACGCUGAGAUACGAAAGCCAAGGGAGCAAACAGG